rnacentral:lncRNA from 1 species
CUUGACAGCACUCCUGGAACUGGCCUGUCCAAGACUGUCUCCACAAAACCCCAGCUAAGAGUUAUAAGUCUGUAUAAAUACAGUGUCAGAAAUGAAAAGAGAUAAAACAAAUUGAAGACAAAAACCUCCAAC